rnacentral:lncRNA from 1 species
AAGACGACCAGAAAUUCUUAGAGAGAGAGAGAGAGCUCCUGCUUAUGGAGAGAGGUGAGAGAGAGCUAUGAGAAGGUUGGAUUAGGGAGGCAGUGUUUGGUUAUGGGAUAGGGAUAGGAAUAGGCCCUUAUCCCCCCUUUAUAUCCAAACGCUAAUUUUUUACCCGAGAAUAGUAGUUCUCGGUUAUCCCCACCAACACCUCUAUUUCCUAUAUAAAACUACCUAAAAUUGUUCUUAUCCCCGGGAACAAUCCAAUUUGCAUCCAAAAACUAUUUUUCUUAUCCCCAUACUUAUCUAUUCCUGUAAUAGCUAGUUCUUGCUUAUAUCCGAACCAAACGGUAAAGAGUGUGAGAGAGAGUUUGAGCGAGAGCUUGAGGGAAGGCAUGGAAUGAAAAAA